rnacentral:rRNA from 1 species
GAUGAACGCUUGCGAUAGGCUUAACACAUGCAAGUCGAGGGGCAGCAUGGUCUUAGCUUGCUAAGACUGAUGGCGACCGGCGCACGGGUGCGUAACGCGUAUGCAACUUGCCUCACAGAGGGGGAUAACCCGUCGAAAGACGGACUAAUACCGCGUACACUUGGGAUAGGGCAUCCUGACCCAAGGAAAUGAAAUUCGCUGUGAGAUAGGCACGCGUCCCAUUAGCUAGUUGGUGAGGUAACGGCUCACCAAGGCGACGAUGGGGAGGGGAACUGAGAGGUUGAACCCCCACACUGGUACUGAGACACGGACCAGACUCCUACGGGAGGCAGCAGUGAGGAAUAUGGGUCAAUGGGCGAGAGCCUGAACCAGCCAAGUCGCGUGAAGGAUGACUGUCUUAUGGAUUGUAAACUUCUUUUAUACGGGAAUAACAAGAGCCACGUGUGGCUCCCUGCAUGUACCGUAUGAAUAAGCAUCGGCUAACUCCGUG